CUGACUCUUGCUAGUUGCAGGCUUAGGCUAGCCUUUCCCUGUGUCCACCCAGGACUUGUCCUUUAACUUCAUGCUGCUUUCAAGUCUCACCUUCCUGACGAGCCCCGGGAGCACCAAGAGCUCCUCUGUUGUACUGAGGAUCCGCUUCGUCAGCAUUGGCUCCACCGUCCUGUGUGGCAGCUGACAGUCUAUGGAUCUGAGGGAAAGCCCAGCCAUCCAGGAAAUUUCCUCCCAGAGUCCCUGCAGAGUUGUGAAGAUUGUUUCACUGCACCGUCUUCCUCCGUGGACUAGGAGAGCCUCAAGGUUAGCCAUUCCUUAGUGACAGGCCAGCUUGCUCUCCAGGACAGGUGACCUGAGACCCUGCAGAACACAUCUCCCUUGAGUUUGGGCCCGUUGAAUGAUGGUGUGAGCACUUGUCACUACAGGCUGCUCCCAAAUGCCCCAGCCUGUGCUUAGACCCGUCAGUCAGUGCUCUCACUGACAUAGCUGAGCACUCAAAGAUGGGACUCCAGAUGCCAAGUGCUUGUCUCACCUGUGUCGGAUGUGAGUCUGCUUCAGGAUUUCUCUACACAUCUGGCACACCAGUGUCAGGGCAACAGUGCGGCCAACUCCAAGUCCUGGACCCUGGACUUUGUUUUUGCUUCCUGGAGCACCAGCGUGACCUGGACUGGUACCAGAUCUAUCACCAACUCCGAGAUGGGUGGCCUCAAGGAACUGUUCAAACUGAGAUUUGCCAAUGAUUUGAUCUUCAUGAAACGCUGGACUUUUAGUAAAGGCUGCUACAGACA
rnacentral:lncRNA from 1 species